rnacentral:rRNA from 1 species
CGGACGGGGGAGUAAUGUCUGGGAAACUAGCCUGAUGGAGGGGGGUAACUACUGGAAACGGUAGCUAAUACCGCAUAACGUCGCAAGACCAAAGAGGGGGACCUUCGGGCCUCUUGCCAUCGGAUGUGCCCAGAUGGGAUUAGCUAGUAGGUGGGGUAAAGGCUCACCUAGGCGACGAUCCCUAGCUGGUCUGAGAGGAUGACCAGCCACACUGGAACUGAGACACGGUCCAG